GGCUGAGGGUGGUUUCCACUAGGAAACCCAACCCCAGUGCAAAACCAGAUGACAACUUAAAUUUUGGAAUCAAAACCUUGGAAGAGAUCAAACUGAAAAAACUCAAGGAAAAAG